CAAAGACGACGACAGUACCGACCACCACUGGCAGAAUCAUUAUCGGCAGCAGCAACAGGAGGAGGAUGGUGAUACAUUGAACCGCAGGUAUGUAAAUCGCUCUUAACAGCAGGGAAGGAUUGGUUCACAUGAGCGCGCAGGAAAAAUUAUUACUGACUGUAUACAUCAUUUGAUUGAAAUUUGAAAACCGCCGAUUACUCGUCCGGGCGGAGGGUCCUCUGGAUGUGAAAGAUUGGUAAGAUUUGUCGGAGCCCUCCGGUACCUUGCCGGGCAACACCGACCGAUCGGGGUCUUUCUGGACGGGCUCGGGAAAAAGAAAACACUCAUUAAUCGGGCUUAA